rnacentral:rRNA from 1 species
UACGUAGGGAGCGAGCGUUGUCCGGAUUUAUUGGGCGUAAAGAGCUCGUAGGCGGCUUGGCAAGUCGGAUGUGAAAACUCCAGGCUCAACCUGGAGACGCCAUCCGAUACUGCUAUGGCUAGAGUCCGGUAGGGGACCACGGAAUACCUGGUGUAGCGGUGAAAUGCGUAGAUAUCAUUUGGAACGCCAAUGGUGAAAACAGGUAGCUGGGAGUGUGCUGACACUGAGACACGAAAGACAGGGGAGCAAACGGG